AGUGAACGCUGGCGGUAGGCCUAACACAUGCAAGUCGAACGGCAGCACAGUAAGAGCUUGCUCUUACGGGUGGCGAGUGGCGGACGGGUGAGGAAUACAUCGGAAUCUACUUUUUCGUGGGGGAUAACGUAGGGAAACUUACGCUAAUACCGCAUACGACCUACGGGUGAAAGCAGGGGAUCUUCGGACCUUGCGCGAUUGAAUGAGCCGAUGUCGGAUUAGCUAGUUGGCGGGGUAAAGGCCCACCAAGGCGACGAUCCGUAGCUGGUCUGAGAGGAUGAUCAGCCACACUGGAACUGAGACACGGUCCAGACUCCUACGGGAGGCAGCAGUAGGGAAUAUUGGACAAUGGGCGAAAGCCUGAUCCAGCCAUACCGCGUGGGUGAAGAAGGCCUUCGGGUUGUAAAGCCCUUUUGUUGGGAAAGAAAAGCAGCAGGUUAAUCCCCCGAUGUUCUGACGGUACCCAAAGAAUAAGCACCGGCUAACUUCGUG
rnacentral:rRNA from 1 species